CUCAAUGUUGUCAAUGAUGCAUUGUUUUUGGAAAUGAAUUUAAGUGAUCUGACAAAUCCGUCACUACCACUGAGACAACAUUGAG